rnacentral:rRNA from 1 species
AGUGAACGCUGGCGGUAGGCCUAACACAUGCAAGUCGAACGGCAGCACAGUAAGAGCUUGCUCUUACGGGUUGCGAGUGGCGGACGGGUGAGGAAUACAUCGGGAUCUACUUUUUCGUGGGGGAUAACGUAGGUAAACUUACUCUAAUACCGCAUACGACCUACGGGUGAAAGCAGUGGAUCUUCGGACCUUGCGCGAUUGAAUGAGCCGAUGUCGGAUUAGCUAGUUGGCUGGGUAAAGGCCCACCAAGGGGACGAUCGGUAGCUUGUCUGAGAGGAGGGUCGGCCACACGGGAACUGAGACACGGACAAGAGUCCUACGGGAGGGAGCAGACGGGAACAUUGGACAAUGGGCGCAAGUCUGAUACAGCGAUACCGCGUGGGUGAAGAAGGCGUUCGGGUUGUAAAGACCUUUUGUUGGGAAAGAAAAGCAGCAGGCUAAUACCAAGCUGUUCUGACGGUAACCAAAGAAUAAGCACCGGCUAACUUCGUG